CCUUGUCAGCGGGAUUAGGGUCUGAAAAACUCUGUUGUCAUCAGCUUCAUCUCCUUCAUAACCCACCGGAUCGGAGUUAAAUAAUAGCACUACAUUA
rfam:Populus trichocarpa isolate Nisqually-1 chromosome 19, whole genome shotgun sequence.